rnacentral:rRNA from 1 species
GUCGAACGCUGGCGGCGUGCCUAAUACAUGCAAGUCGAACGCAGUGGGGAUGGGUGAGUAACACGUGGGUAACCUCCCAUCAGAGGGGAUAACCCUUGGAAACAGGUGCUAAACCGAUCUUGUUGGAUGGACCCGCGUUGCAUUUGCUAGUUGGUGGGGUAACGGCGCACCAAGUCCAAGAUGCAUCGCCGACCGGCGAGGGUGAUCGGCCACACUGGGACUGAGACACGGCCCAGACGCCUACGGGAGGCAGCAGUGGGGAAUCUUCGGCAAUGGACGAAAGUCUGACCGAGCAACGCCGCGUGAGUGAAGAAGGUUUUCGGAUCGUAAAACUCUGUUGUUAGGGAAGCGGUAUCUAACCAGAAAGCCACGGCUAACUACGUGCCAGCAGCCGCGGUAAUUC